rnacentral:rRNA from 1 species
UACGUAGGGUGCGAGCGUUAAUCGGAAUUACUGGGCGUAAAGCGCACGUAGGCGGCUUGGUAUGUCGGGUGUGAAAUCCCCGGGCUCAACCUGGGAACUGCAUCCGAAACUGCCCUGCUCGAGUAUGGGAGAGGGAAGUGGAAUUUCCGGUGUAGCGGUGAAAUGCGUAGAUAUCGGAAGGAACAUCAGUGGCGAAGGCGACUUCCUGGACCAAUACUGACGCUCAGGUGCGAAAGCGUGGGGAGCAAACAGG